GGGAGUGUAGCUCAGUGGUUGAGCACAUGCUUCAUAUGGAUGAAGCCCAGGGUUUGAUCCAUGACACCCCCC
rnacentral:tRNA from 1 species